UUCACUCAUUCAGGUGAUGGACUACAGAUUUUACGGAUUCCUCCCACCUGUUUGUUUUAAUGUCUAAAAGCCACAAGCUAUUCUCCUGUUUUGGCAUCAAUCAGCCUCCAUACAGACAGGCUUUCACCGCGGUUACUCGCCCGCCCUAUAAGAGAAGGGCGCUAACCCAGCAGCUUUGCAAUUAUCUCUACUAGAACUGUAGCCUCUUCCCCCUAAGAGACACGGCACCAAUGAAAGGCCAUUAUGUGAAAAGAACGGACUAACAAACGUGUAUGUGAAGGAUGCCAUCACUCAAUGUCAAUAUGAAGAGGUCUUUACAGCCUGUGCAGCCUUGUACAGAUAAAGCGCCUGAGGAGCCUUAGUAAAUAUUCAGCUGUGUGGACACAUGGAGCACGACACACCAGCCAAGAAGAGAUCCGGACAGAGACGAGCCUGACAGAGCCCUGACUGCAGAGA